AGUGGGGAAUAUUGCACAACUGGGGGGAAAACCCUGAUGCUAGGCCUAUGACCGCGUGUGUGAAGAAGGCCUUCGGGUUGUAAAGCACUUUCAGUAGGGAGGAAGGUAGUGUAGUUAACACCUGCAUUAUUUGACGUUACCUACAGAAGAAGCACCGGGCUAACUCCGUGCCCAGCUAGCCGCGGUAAUACGGAGGGUGCGAGCGUUAAUCGGAAUUACUGGGCGUAAAGCGCAUGCAGGCGGCCUGUUAAGUCAGAUGUGAAAGCCCGGGGCUUAACCUCGGAAUUGUCAUUUGAAACUGGCAGGCUAGAGUCUUGUAGAGGGGGUAGAAUUUCAGGUGUAGCGGUGAAAAUGCGUAGAGAUCUGAAGGAAUACCAGUGGCGAAGGCGGCCCCCUGGACAAAGACUGACGCUCAGAUGCGAAAAGCGUGGGGAGCAAACAGGAUUAGAUACCCUGGUAG
rnacentral:rRNA from 1 species